GGUAGGAGGACUUCUCAGCCAGAAAGUAGCAAAAGAAAAUUUCCACGAGAGCAAAGGGCAUUGGGGAGCUGUCUCCACGCCUAGUCAAGUCCCUCCCAGUGCGGGGGCAUUAACAGCUGAAGAUACAGCCCUUCCUCGCUGUAGAGUUGAAGUCGAUAGCCAGACGUUUCUUCUGAGGCACUUCUGGGGAGCCGAAAAUCCCCACCCUGUCCCUUGGCAGCACCACCCAGGGGUGCCUGUUGAUAAGGCAAAAGGUCCUGCAGCCCAGGUGAGGGAUACAGUGACACACAUGCACAG